rnacentral:rRNA from 1 species
GAUGAACGCUGGCGGCGUGCCUAAUACAUGCAAGUCGAGCGAACAGACGAGGAGCUUGCUCCUCUGACGUUAGCGGCGGACGGGUGAGUAACACGUGGAUAACCUACCUAUAAGACUGGGAUAACUUCGGGAAACCGGAGCUAAUACCGGAUAAUAUAUUGAACCGCAUGGUUCAAUAGUGAAAGACGGUUUUGCUGUCACUUAUAGAUUGAUCCGCGCCGCAUUAGCUAGUUGGUAAGGUAACGGCUUACCAAGGCAACGAUGCGUAGCCGACCUGAGAGGGUGAUCGGCCACCCUGGAAGUGAGACACGGUCCAGACUCCUACGGGAGGAAGCAGUAGGGAAUCUUCCGCAAAGGGCGAAAGCCUGACGGAGCAACGCCGCGUGAGUGAUGAAGGUCUUCGGAUCGUAAAACUCUGUUAUUAGGGAAGAACAAAUGUGUAAGUAACUAUGAACGUCUUGACGGUACCUAAUCAGAAAGCCACGGCUAACUACGUG